ACGGGUGAGUAACGCGUAAAGAACUUGCCUCACAGCUAGGGACAACAUUUAGAAAUGAAUGCUAAUACCUAAUAUUAUGAUAAUAGGGCAUCCUAUAAUUAUGAAAGCUAUAUGCGCUGUGAGAGAGCUUUGCGUCCCAUUAGCUAGUUGGAGAGGUAACGGCUCACCAAGGCGAUGAUGGGUAGCCGGCCUGAGAGGGUGAUCGGCCACAAGGGGACUGAGACACGGCCCUUACUCCUACGGGAGGCAGCAGUGGGGAAUAUUGGACAAUGGACCGAGAGUCUGAUCCAGCAAUUCUGUGUGCACGAUGAAGUUUUUCGGAAUGUAAAGUGCUUUCAGUUGGGAAGAAAUAAAUGACGGUACCAACAGAAGAAGUGACGGCUAAAUACGUGCCAGCAGCCGCGGUAAUACGUAUGUCACGAGCGUUAUCCGGAUUUAUUGGGCGUAAAGCGCGUCUAGGUGGUUAUAUAAGUCUGAUGUGAAAAUGCAGGGCUCAACUCUGUAUUGCGUUGGAAACUGUAUAACUAGAGUACUGGAGAGGUAAGCGGAACUACAAGUGUAGAGGUGAAAUUCGUAGAUAUUUGUAGGAAUGCCGAUGGGGAAGCCAGCUUACUGGACAGAUACUGACGCUGAAGCGCGAAAGCGUGGGUAGCAAACAGGAUUAGAUACCCUGGUAGUCCACGCUGUAAACG
rnacentral:rRNA from 1 species